ensembl:lncRNA
UUUUGUUGUUCCUUUUGGCUGUAAAAUAAAGCUAGUGAUUCUCUCUGCAAUUAAUAAUCAUGCAUAUCCAUGGCUUUAAUCUAAACUUAAAUCCCUAUCCUAUGUAAAAUGUUAUGUUAAAAGAUAAUAAUAAUACAUGUGAGAUCAAAUGUGAUACAUUUCCUGGACAAUGAGGUCAGGGUGGUUCAAUGUUUUGCUGAGGAUAUUAUUAACCCUAAAAUAAGAGCCUAAAGAAACUCUUCAUAUAAUGACUGCUGAAAAAUAAUUGUCCCUGAAUGACAUGCUUUUUAUAUUUACUGGAUUAGGGAACUACUACGGAACCCCUCGUCCGGUUCACAUUAAUCCUGAUAGUCCUCCCAUCACCUACCAGGAGCACCGCAACCUGCUGAGAAACUUCCGCACACGUAGCAAGUCCCUCAGCAACCUGGAGAAAGCAGGCGAGGAGGGAGACAACAGCGAGGAGGACUCAGGUCUAUCAGGUGGUUCGGCCGGGGCGAGCAGUGCCCCCGCCCCCACUUCAUCCCCCAGCCAAUCACGAGAUUCAAGCGGAGGAGACGGCAGUGCCCUAGAGAAUGGGCUCGGACCCCGUAGAGGAGCACGGCAAAACUGGGAGAUGAUGUACAGCGACUCAGGGAAUGCCUAUUACAAAGAGUAAGAAGAUUAAUGAUGUCUAUAUGAAAGAUUCAUACUGUGUUAGUCCCUAGACCACAAGUUUUAGAGCACUGAAAACACAGCUGAUUUAGCUUCAGGACUCUGAUUUUACAUUGGAUAUCAAGGGAUAGUUCAUCCAAAAAUGCUGAAGAUAUAUUGAAGAUUGUGUCGCUAUGUGACAACACUGACAUCUUGUGUUAUGUGUUUGUCCUGCAGCCAUCAUCUAAAGCCAUCCUCUUGGCUUAAUCGCAGAGCUCACAGCAGAGACAAUGUCUGUAUGCCUGAAUGUAAGAUUCUAUUCUAUUCUAUUCUAUUCUAUUCUAUUCUAUUCUUAUGUUUCUCUUUUGCCUUGAUUCCAUUCAGGUUUAGGUCAUGCAGUAGUUUUUGAUGUAAAUAACCUUAAAUAUUUAGUAUAUGCUCUGUUUUUAUUUUAUGCAGCUACAUUAGGAUAUUUGCUUAACAGGGUAUUUGAUAAGAAAAAAAAGUGUGAGGUUGCUCCCCUGACUCAUUUUUUUCUGUUUAUAAAAUGUAUAAGGGCUGUCACAGCUCGAUCAGCAUGACACCUGUUUCAGUGAUAUCUGUCAGGUGGAGGGACAUUUUAUGCAUGAUAUUUAAAAUAAAAAUUACACCUUUAAUUAUCAUCAAAGCACAACAGGUAUGAAAUGUCACCAAUGAGCAAAACCGUUUCCCUUCUUAAAUAGCCAUGACAAAUAUUUGUAAGGUAGGCCUAUUCUGGUUAAUUUUUCAGUUUGUUACAUGGAUCAAUUCGGGUUGUAAUAUUUGUGUAUUAUUUAGUAUUAUCUGCAUAUGGAGGUUACGACAUGUUCUUAAGUAUCUGUUUACUUGUGCUUGCAAUGCAUAACAUGUGACUGUGCAACUACAAUGUGAUUUUGAAGAAUGUACUGGUCGUUCUUUCCAUGAAAUUACACAGAAUGAAGACUGAAAGAUUAAAAGAUCAUUUUCAGAUAAUUACACUGAAAAUGUAACAUUGUUAACUUUUAUGGUACAGUGUUAAUGUUUCUUUAAUAUUAUUCUUAUGUCAUGACAAGCAAAAAUAACCUGUUGACCAGAUAAAUAAUUUCAGACAUUUAUUUUGUAAACUGUAUUAUGUCUUUAUAAAUAUAUCAAUAGAAUAUAUACUUUACACAUUUAUACUUUUGUUAAAAAAUAAUAAACUGACAAUAAUUCAUCUUACCUAAUUGAGAGGUAAAUAUUAUAAUAAUUUAGUAUAAUUUAAAAUGGUAUAAUGGUAUCAUUUAGUACUCUUUAAUAAGAAAAGAGUACAGAUGUUUGAAAACUCUAAUAGUAUGUUUCUCCUUUGAAUUGUUUAUAAGUUGCAGUACAUGACUGUUAACUGUAGAGGGUGGUAUAAUUAUACAUAUUUUCAAUUUUAAGAACAUGAUGGUCAUUACAGCUUCAAAAUUCCAUGCCUGCUUUAGGUGGUAGUUUUUCUUUUUUGUGCUUCCUACCAACUUUUACAAUGUUGCAUGCGAUUCUGCUGUUUAACAUGUUACGCUUGAACAGUUUAUGCUCAGACAUGCAUAUGCUUACCUUUCUCUGUACUUCUACCUCUCUUUUCCUUCAGACAUUUCACAUUCAUGCUUUUGGCAGACACUUAAAGACUUACAAAGCAACUUACAGUGCAUUGAAGGUAUAUAUUUUUGUCAGUUUGUAUGUUCCCUGGGAUUUGGUCCCAUGAUAUUAGCAGUGCUAGCAGUUGAGCCAACGGGACAGAAUUUAGAUUCACUCCUCUCUGGAAAAAUGCUAUAUUUUUCUUCACCUUUUACCAUCCAUCUUAUAUAAUGUCAGUCAUUUCUUCUUUUCUUUACUCUCGGUUGGUUCAUUUUUCCUAAUAACCUGUCAUGUUUAAACCGGUCACCAUCUUUUUGCUCUUGCUUUGCAGUGGCAGAGUUUACAGACCAGCCGAGUGAACUGAAAGGCUACUCUGUUCACACUCAUCUGGUUAAGGGUUCACGGGGUUUCGGCUUCAAUAUAGUGGGAGGCAGCAGGCGGAGGGAGUUCCUGCAGAUCUACAGCAUCACUCCCGGAGGACCUUCCACCCUUCACACAGGUAACAGCCCACAUCUCUCUGCAGCCGCCCACUGCAGUACAGCACUGUGCUUACAAAUAAGGCUGCUGCUGCUCUCUGUCUUUAUACACAUUGCUCU